rnacentral:rRNA from 1 species
GAUGAACGCUGGCGGCGUGCCUAAUACAUGCAAGUCGAGCGAACGGACGAGAAGCUUGCUUCUCUGAUGUUAGCGGCGGACGGGUGAGUAACACGUGGAUAACCUACCUAUAAGACUGGGAUAACUUCGGGAAACCGGAGCUAAUACCGGAUAAUAUUUUGAACCGCAUGGUUCAAAAGUGAAAGACGGUCUUGCUGUCACUUAUAGAUGGAUCCGCGCUGCAUUAGCUAGUUGGUAAGGUAACGGCUUACCAAGGCAACGAUGCAUAGCCGACCUGAGAGGGUGAUCGGCCACACUGGAACUGAGACACGGUCCAGACUCCUACGGGAGGCAGCAGGAGGGAUACUUCAGAAAGGGGCGAAAGCCUGACGGAGCAACGCGGGGGGAGUGAUGAGGGCCUUCGGUUCGUAAAACUCUGUUAUUAGGGAAGAACACAUGUGUAAGUAACCGUGCACAUCUGGCCGGUACCUAAGCAGAAGGCCAGGGCUACCUACGG